GUUUGCAUUGAAAAAUAUAAUAUCAAUCUGCUUCGUCAGUUUUUCAAAAGGGUUUACAAUCAAUUGUAGUACUAAGCAUUUCACAAAAGCCUUUCACAAAAGCAGAUAAAGAUGUCAAACCGUUCAUCAAGUAGAAGCCGUUCAAUAAGUAGAGGUCGUGCAUCGAGCAGAAGAAUGCCAAGUAGUACAUCAAACCUAAGGAUAUCAAUCCGUUCAUCAAGCAGAAGAAGGUCAAGUGGUUCAUCUAGCAGAAGUCGUUCAUCACGCAUAAGAAUCUCAAACCGUUCAUUAAGCAGAAGUCAUUCAUCAAGCAUAAGAAUCUCACACCGUUCAUCAAGCAGAAGAAGGCCAAGUCGUUCACCAAGUAGAAGUAGGUCAAACAGUGCAUCAAGCAUAAGAAUCUCACACCGUUCAUCAAGCCGAAGGAGGUCAAGCCGUUCAUCAAGCAGGAGAAGGUCAAGCCGCUCACCAAGUAGAAGCAGGUCAAACAGUGCAUCAAGCAGGACAAGAUCAAGUUCACCAAGCAGAGGAAUGUAUCACGCACAAGUACUAGAACGUCAAGCAUUUUAUCAAGAAAAACAAUACGGUCAAUACCAGCCCGUAUAUCAAGCGGAAGAAGGUCAAGCCUUGACGAAGAAGGUCAAAACAAAGUUAUUUUUAAUUUAUUUUGACAAAUAUUUUCUUCAAAAAUAGUGCUAAUUUUUCUUAAGUGAUGCAGUCAACUUCAGCUACUAUAGAAGGGUCGUUGAAGAUAUCGGAGGACGGGAUAAAUAUAAGCAACUAUAUUCUGAUAAUCUUGAUUUUAAUGUUGGCAGCCAUCAUGGCUUAUAUAAUUUACUAGAUGUUGUGCCCAAUGCGGGCCACGACCCUCCGUGAGUUGUGAAAGUUUUUAGCAAGUAUUCCGUUUAAAGUUUUGUUAAACAAUUUUCAACCAAAUGAAACAAAAUCAGAUCUAGAACAAAGAAGAAAAUGACGAAAUCGAGAGAGAUAAACGUGAAAUCAAACGAAUGAGUGAAGAAAGGUGAUUAGAUCCUAGUCGUUGAUGGAUCUGUGUUGGCUUCAGAUCCAGUGAAAAACGGCUUGUUGGAUUUUGCGACGGAUCUGUUAAGGGGAUGUAGUUUCUAAAUAGAAGACGAGGAAGCGGUGAAAAGGAGUAGUGAAGGUUGACAACGGAGGAUGCAGUGAAAAGGAGUAGUGAAGGUUGACGAUGGAGGAGUAGUGGAAGGUUGACAACGAACAAUCGGCAAUUACAACAUUGAAUGAAGCAAAAAGAAACGAAUUAGUGAGCCUGGCGGUGCUAGGGUUUAGAAUUGUAAAAGUUGCAUCUGCAACAUUUGUACCAUUUUGUACCAGUUGUCCUAUUAUAUCUUUAUUGUACCAAUUGUCCUAUUUAUCACUCGGUUGUACCCAGUUGUCCUAUUAUAUCUCAGUUGUACCGUUGGUCAUAUUAUAUCAAAGUUGUAACAUUUGUAUUAA